rnacentral:rRNA from 1 species
CCUACGGGGGGCAGCAGUGAGGAAUAUUGGUCAAUGGGCGGAAGCCUGAACCAGCCAAGUAGCGUGCAGGAUGACGGCCCUACGGGUUGUAAACUGCUUUUAUACGGGAAUAACGCGCCUUACGUGUAGGGCUUUGCAUGUACCGUAUGAAUAAGGACCGGCUAAUUCCGGGCCCGCAGCCGCGGUAAUACGGAAGGUCCGGGCGUUCUCCGGAUUUAUUGGGGUUAAAGGGCGCGUAGGCCGCAUGUCAAGCGUGCUGUGAAAUUACCGGGCUCAACCCGGGCCUUGCAGCGCGAACUGGGGUGCUUGAGUCCGCGGAAAGCAGGCGGAAUUCGUCGUGUAGCGGUGAAAUGCUUAGAUAUGACGAAGAACCCCGAUUGCGAAGGCAGCUUGCUGCAGCGGAACUGACGCUGAUGCUCGAAAGCGCGGGUAUCGAACAGGAUUAGAUACCCGAGUAGUC